AGCCGAGAGACAGGUGCUGGCAUGGCUGUCGUCAGCUCGUGUCAUGAGAUGUUGGGUUAAGUCCCGUAACGAGCGCAACCCCUAUUGUUAGUUGCCAUCAUUCAGUUGGGCACUCUAGCGAAGACUGCCGGUAAUAAACCGGAGGAAGGUGGGGAUGACGUCAAAUCAUCAUGCCCCUUAUGACCUGGGCUACACACGUGCUACAAUGGUUGGUACAACGAGUUGCGAGUCGGUGACGGCGAGCUAAUCUCUUAAAGCCAACCUCAGUUCGGAUUGUAGGCUGCAACUCGCCUACAUGAAGUCGGAAUCGCUAGUAAUCGCGGAUCAGCACGCCGCGGUGAAUACGUUCCCGGGCCUU
rnacentral:rRNA from 1 species